GGACGUCUGUGAGCGUGAUCUGGUUGCAACCACUGAUCGCCAGGGUCGAUUUGGCUGAUCUGGCUGGCUGGGCCAGUGUCCCCUCCUCCCUCACCACUCCAUGUGCGUCCCUCCCGGAGCCGCACGCUUGGUUGAAGAGGACGACCUUCCCUGAAAUAAAAAAAAAAAGAAAGAAAAAUGUACAAGCACCAGAAGAAGCUAUCAGUACAUUCUCCGGUAAGUUGAGUAUGAAAAAAUGUUUCUAACUCUGACU
rnacentral:sRNA from 1 species